UUAAAAUUGCCGUGUUAAGUCGAUAGUCGAAUUUAUUGUUGCCUUUUUACCGCGAUGCUGAUUGGUUAUCUCGAUUGAUUGCCGCGCCGUAGCUUGCUUCAUCCCGUGAGGGACUGUCAUCGCGGAGUGUGGCGAGUUUCGUGCGAGCCUCGUGUGUGUAGUGCGUCGUGUGUGUGUCGUGAUGUGACAGCUCUCGAGGUUAAUCGUCCCGCGUCGUGUCGCGAGGAUCGAAGUGCCACGCGAAAUAUCAGCGGAUCGGAGAUAGCUAGAUCAAAUAUUUAUCAGGUUAUCGUGGUUAUGUGAAGAAGUUCUCAACAUGUGAUUAAUGAAAAAGAAGUAAAGAAGAAGAAAUCGGAGAGGGUGUCGUGUUAUACUACAUAAUCAC